UAUUCUGUAUUGUACUGGAUCUUAAAUAUUUGUUAGGGGAAGCAUACUGAUUGAAACCACCCUCCCUGGCCAGACACCAUAGUAACUAUUUGCAUGAGUUGUUUUAUGACAGGAGGUCCUGGUAAGGAACACGGAACUAAUAAGCCACCACCAACCAGAAGAGUUCUGGAAAGGUCAAAAAGAGACACCACGUGUCUGACUACCUCCCAGAAUCCUUCUCGCUGGCAUCCAUCUUGGCUGAGUGAUGUGUGCGCCACCAGGAAGGACUCUGAGUCAGAAUGAUUGGCUAAAGACAACCCGAAAACUAAUCCCA